GGCCUGUAGCUCAGCUUGGUUAGAGCGCACGCCUGAUAAGCGUGAGGUCGGUAGUUCAAGUCUACCCAGGCCCACCAUA
rnacentral:tRNA from 1 species